AGAAUCAACGCUGGCGGCGUGCCUAACACAUGCAAGUCGAACGAGAAAGUGGAGCAAUCCAUGAGUAAAGUGGCGCACGGGUGAGUAACACGUGACUAACCUACCCUUGAGUGGGGGAUAACCUAGGGAACCUGGGCUAAUACCGCAUAAUACCUUCGGGUCAAAGGAGCAAUUCGCUUAAGGGAGGGGGUCGCGGCCGAUUAGUUAGUUGGCGGGGUAAUGGCCCACCAAGGCAGUGAUCGGUAU
rnacentral:rRNA from 1 species